GGAGGGCUAUGGCUCCCUGGUAGAGCAUCUGCUUUGCAUGCAGAAGGUCCAGGUCCAAUCUCUGGCAUCUUCA